GUGCUAAGGUAGCAUAAUAAAUUGUCUUUUGAUUGUUGGCUGGCAUGAAAGAUUUAACUAAAAAUAAGUAUUUUAGUUUUUAUUUAAUUAAUUUUUGUUUAUAGUAAGAACACUAUAAUAGGUGAGGGGGACGAUAAGACCCUAAAAGUUUUAUUUAUCAGAGUUAUGUGGCUUAUUGUGAUAUUUUUAGUUGGGGUAACGUUUUUUUGGAUAAAUUAUGUUAAAGCUUUUGUAGGUUGGUGGUCCUUAAUGUUAGGAUAAAUAGUAUUAAUUACUUUAGGGGUAACAGCGUAAUUUUUUCGGUUAGUUCUUAUUUAUGAGAAUGAUUACGACCUCGAUGUUGAAUUAAGAUUUCUUUAUGGUGAUAUAACUGUUGUGGGGGUUUGUUCAACCUUUAAAUUUUUACAUGAUCUGAGUUCAAACCGGA
rnacentral:rRNA from 1 species